rnacentral:rRNA from 1 species
UACGGAGGGUGCAAGCGUUAUCCGGAUUUAUUGGGUUUAAAGGGUCCGUAGGCGGUUUAGUAAGUCAGUGGUGAAAGCCCAUCGCUCAACGGUGGAACGGCCAUUGAUACUGCUAGACUUGAAUUAUUAGGAAGUAACUAGAAUAUGUAGUGUAGCGGUGAAAUGCUUAGAGAUUACAUGGAAUACCAAUUGCGAAGGCAGGUUACUACUAAUGGAUUGACGCUGAUGGACGAAAGCGUGGGUAGCGAACAGG